rnacentral:snRNA from 1 species
GGGUGUGAGGGCGAUCUGGCUGUGAUAUCUGUCACCCCACUGAUUGCCAGGGUUGAUUUGGCUCAUCUAGCUGGCUAGGUGGGUGCCCCCUUUCUCCUGCACCUCUCCAUGUGUGUCCCUCCCCAAGCUCAGUCGAAGAGGACAACCCUCCCGGAAUGAGGCCAGGGAAACAGCUGAUUCUCAAGUGG